ensembl:misc_RNA Metazoa_SRP Metazoan signal recognition particle RNA
GCCGGGAGCAGUGGCACGUGCCUGUAUAAUCCCAGCUACUCGGGAGGCUGAAGUGGGAGGAUCACUUGAGCCCAGGAGUUCCGGGCUGUAGUGUGCUAUGCCAGUUGGGUGCUCACACUAAGUUCGGUAUCAAUAUGGUGACCUCCCGGGAAGUGGGGGACCACCAGGUUGCCUAAGGAGGGGUGAACCGGCCCAGGUCAGAAACGGAGUAGGUCAAAACUCCCAUGAUGAUCAAUAGUGGGAUCACGCCUGUGAAUAGCCACUGCACUCCAGCCUGGGCAACACAGCAAGACCCCUUCUA